AGGGGCCAGGAAGAUGUAGAAUGUGAAAUUGGGCCUAUAUCAGAACGUAUUGAGACAGAUGAACAAUAUCCUGCAAUUACUCGGACUUUAAAAAGCGGGAAUGAAGAUCAAUCAGUUGAUGACAAUUCAAAAGCUUACCGAAGUGAAAAUGAUGAUGCUUUAAAAGCAAAGAUAGGGGAAUUGAAGAAGGAAAAUUCCACACUCUCUUCUGCAGUGAAGAAGACUGCAGAAUCUUUCAGGCGACUUAAUAUAGAGAACAAGAACUUGCUGCAAGAAUUGAAGAAAAUAUGCAGCAAGGAUGAGAUCUCAAGACUUGAAGCCACGAACCCUGCUGGAAAUUCAGAAUCUGUUGAUGACGAUGAAGAACACUACCAGACUACUUCAAAAGCAUCAAACGACUUUAACACUUCUGCAGAUUUAUGUUAUUCUGAUCCACU